rnacentral:rRNA from 1 species
GGAAGUAAAAGUCGUAACAAGGUUUCCGUAGGUGAACCUGCGGAAGGAUCAUUACCGAGUUGAUUCGAGCUCCGGCUCGACUCUCCCACCCAAUGUGUACCUACCUCUGUUGCUUUGGCGGGCCGCGGUCCUCCGCACCGGCGCCCUUCGGGGGGCUGGCCAGCGCCCGCCAGAGGACCAUAAAACUCCAGUCAGUGAACUUCGCAGUCUGAGAAACAAGUUAAUAAACUAAAACUUUCAACAACGGAUCUCUUGGUUCUGGCAUCGAUGAAGAACGCAGCGAAAUGCGAUAAGUAAUGUGAAUUGCAGAAUUCAGUGAAUCAUCGAAUCUUUGAACGCACAUUGCGCCCCUUGGUAUUCCGAGGGGCAUGCCUGUUCGAGCGUCAUUUCAACCCUCAAGCUCUGCUUGGUAUUGGGCUCCGUCCUCCACGGACGCGCCUUAAAGGCCUCGGCGGUGGCGUCUUGCCUCAAGCGUAGUAGAAAACACCUCGCUUUGGAGCGCACGGCGUCGCCCGCCGGACGAACCUUUGAACUAUUUCUCAAGGUUGACCUCGGAUCAGG